CAAGUCACUAUUAGCAUAGACAAAGCAAACAAAGCUUUGCUCUGGAAGGGUGGGUUUGGUGUGAAACCCACUACCAAACUCAAAUUCUAGCAACAUGGAUGGUUAUGAAGCAACAAGGAUUGUGUUCUCAAGGAUCCAAAGCCUAGACCCAGAAGAUGCCUCUAAAAUCAUGGGUCUCCUUUUGAUUCAAGACCAUGGUGAAAAAGAAAUGAUUAGGUUAGCUUUUGGUCCGGAGGCCCUUGUUCACUCGGUGAUCCUCAAGGCCAGGAGAGAACUAGGACUCAACUCCCCUACAAAUACUUCUUCUAGUCCAUCACCUCCAUCUCUUUUUUCUAGCAACCCAAUAACAAUUUCUAGGCAAAUUUACCCUCCUGCAAGGCUUGGAUUCAGUAUCCCACCUUCUCUUACCGUCCCAAACCCU
rnacentral:misc_RNA from 1 species